GGUCUAACACUAGUGGUGGAGCAUGUGGUUUAAUGCGAUAAUCCGCGCAAAACCUUACCAAUUCUUGACAUAGUUAAAUCAUUAUUUUUCAUUCGAUUUAGGAAGACAAAAAUAAUAUUUUAUUACAGGUGUUGCACGACUGUCGUCAGCUCGUGUCGUGAGAUGUUUGGUUAAGUCCUGAAACGGGCGCAACUCUUACUUUUAAAUAAAGUUUUACGUGCUAAAAAGUUUAAAUUUUUUAAGCUUUUUAAAUGCUUUAAAAGUACCGUCAAUGAUAAAUUGAAGGAAGGUAAGAAUGAAGUCAAGUCAAUGUGACCCUAAUGAAUUGGGCUACACAUGUGCUACAAUGAAAAUUACAAAAAGUGACAAAAAGAAGUUUUAAGUUAAAUCAACAAAGAUUUUCCCAGUUCGAAUUGUAGACUGCAACUCGUCUACAUGAAGUUGGAAUCACUAGUAA
rnacentral:rRNA from 1 species